AACAUUGUUAGUAUCUGGAUACUAUUUUAAGAGGGAUUAGAUAUUAUAGCUAUAUAUCUAUUAUACCUAUAGAUAUCAUAUGUGUAUGUAAUAAACAUGUGUAUUCCAAUCCAAAUAAUCUGGAUUUAAGAACUAGAAGGUUAUUGCAACUAAAAAAAUAGCAUCAGGUAAUUCUGGUGGUUUUUCUUUUUAAUAGAAUUUAAGCCAAAUUUAUAUUUAUAUUAAAGUGGAAAGAAUCAUGUGACUGUAAUAUUACAACUGUCCAGAAUUACUAACUGAGAAAAACCUGAAGAAUGAACUCACCGGCCAUUUGAAGCUAUUGAACAAGGUGUUCUCACUUGAUUUGCUUUUUUUCAAAGACCUUGUUGGAAACUCUCACUGCACAGAAAGGCAAGUAAUUAUCAUGCUGUGAGUGUUUUAGAGCCCCAGCCUUGAUUGCCUUCAAAGUAAGUCUGGUUAUCAAAGAUGGCACAGGUUGGGGACCAGAGGACUUUGGAGAUUUAGAGGACGAUGUGGGUGGAUUUUGGAUAUAGGCCUUGUAACCCUUGGUCUGAGGGUUGUUUGGCAUCUGACUUUAAUUUGAAGAGAUUGUUAGCACCUGAGGACAGAGCUGACCACUCUGUGACCUGAUAGAUCACCAUUAACCACUCUGAGAUAGGCUGGAUGUGGGCGUGGCUUAUUCCCAGCCAGGCAUUCACCUGAAGCAUUUGAUGUUUAGGUAGACUCCGGAAAUGAAGACUUGAAAACAUCAUCCAUGUGGUUUUCUUGCGUACUCUCAAACCCUGCCAGAGUCAUUUAUAAUGGAGCGAGCAAACACGUACUGCCAUCCUGUGAGACCAGACGUCCCGAUGAAUGAGUAUUCCACCGUUGUACAGAAAGAAACAGGAAAUGACUCCCGAGGAGUCUCAACGUUUUAAUUAUGUCAUUGUCCUCCGCUGGCUCUCUCCCAACGCUGACAGUUCACACAGUUGGUCCCAGCUUCUAUCCUCAUGAUCUAAGAUGGUGGCUGAAGUACCAGACACAUUAUCUGAGUCCUAGAUAAGAAGAAAGAGGAAUUGGGAGCAGAUCAAAUGGAAUGCUUUCCACACCCAAUAUGCCUUCAACUCAACUUCCUUUAACUCCUAUCCGAUGGAAACCCAGCUGUACAAUGAAAACUCCUGCCCAGAAUGAUGGAAGACAGUAUGUGACCCAAGUGCCUGAUUAUUCCCUAGAGCUGGAAUAAAUGCUAACACGAUCUAGAAUUAUUUCCUACAUGCUGGCCUGAACUGAAAAUGGAUACUUCUAAAAGAUUUGAUUUCGGCAGAAAAUUUAUUUGAGCUGAAUCCUCUGUGACCUGAAUACUCCAGUGAGCAGUGUGUACCUUCAAUAAUGUAACCAGAGACAAUAAUGAUUGAGGAAAUACCUAAGAUGUAAUUAUAAUAGUUACUAUUUUGUUCUAGCAUUUGCUUUAUGACACGUCCUUUAUCUUAACAGUGCUACUAGGUAGGUAGUGUUAUCUCCCUUUUUCUGAUAAGAAAAUAGAAGCUUACAGAAGUUAAAUAAGUUCCCAAGAUCAGAAGGCAAUGACACAGAUCUGGGAGACUCCAGAGGCCCUGUUUCUUCUACAAUGGGAAGCCAACUUCCAGCCCAAGCCCAGCUGGGUUCACCUUUUCCUGGGGAGAGA